GUUUCCGUAGUAUAGUGGUUAUCACAUUUUUGCCUCGUACGCAAACGGUCCCCAGUUCAAAACUGGGCGGGAACA